AGUGGACGUGUGCCUUCGUCCAGCCGCGCAUAUCCCGUCGCCUUCGCCGGCCCGAACCACCCCGCCAUUACUGCAACCCAACCAUGUGAUGCUGCGGAGGAGGCGCCAUUAAGCCACCACCACGCCCUCUCUUCCCAGGGACGAUGCGCGCGAAUACGCUGAGAGCAGCAAUGGCGACGGCCAGGAUGGCGCUGUCGUCGCCGGCAAGAGCGCUCUCGUCCGCGGCCGCGCACCCUCCCGCCUCCGGCGUGGCCAUGGUGCAGGGCGCGUCGCGCGGCAUCGGGCUGGAGUUCGUGAGGCAGCUGCUGCGGAGGAGCGACCAGGGCCGCGUCGUCGCGACGUGCCGCGCCCCCGACUCCGCCGCCGAGCUCCAGGAGCUGAGGCGGGAGCACGCGGGGCGCCUCACCGUGCUGCCGCUGGACGUCACCGACGAGAGCACCAUAGAGGCCGCCGCAGCCGCAGUUGGGGAGACCCACGGAUCCCUCGACCUACUGAUCAAUGCCGCCGGCAUCCUUUCGAUCCAAAAUGUGAUACAGCCAGAGACCUCGUUGAGCAAAGUUCAGAAGUCAUCCCUGCUACUGGCAUAUGAAGUCAAUGCUGUCGGUCCUAUUCUAGUCAUCAAGCAUAUGCGUCCGUUCCUGAAGAUUGGUGCGAGCUUGGAAACAGGGAAAGGUUUUUCGUUGGUUGCAAAUAUGAGCGCUAGGGUUGGCUCGAUUGGAGACAAUGCUCUGGGAGGCUGGCAUUCGUACAGAGCUUCUAAAACAGCACUGAAUCAAUUGACUAAGACUGCGUCAGUCGAGUUGGGCAAGAAGGACAAUAUCGCCUGCAUUUUGCUGCAUCCAGGAACUGUCGACACCGAUCUCUCACGGCCAUUCCAAAGAAAUGUGGCCAAGGAUAAACUCUUCACGAGGGAGUUCUCUGUGCAGAAGCUCCUGUCCAUCAUUGACAAUGCCAAGAAGACUGACAAUGGGAAGUUCUUCGCUUGGGAUGGCCAAGAAAUUCCUUGGUGACCACUGUUUUCCAGUCAGUGAUAAUUCUUGCCCCAAUCUUCUUCUUCAGAACCAGCUGCAUUUGCGCCUUGAAUUCAAAUCCAUGAACCCAGCUCUACUUUGGCGACCGCUUAGCCGCCCCCAGGACCGGGACGUCAUCACCGCCCUCCUCUCCGAUCUCCGCUCGAUGGCGCUCCGCGUGGCUCCCCCGCUGCCGCCUCCUCCUCCUGAGCCUGACUAGUCCGCUUGGCGACUAUGUGGACUGUAGCGUGCUUUUUUUGGGUUUUGGGCUUGUUGUGCUGUGCCCUCAGCUAUGACCCUAUGUUGUACUAUUUUGGCUCCUGUGGACCUCCAUGUGUGUGUGUCUGUUGUGUGCUGGAUCUUCUUGGAUGCUUAUUGUGCGGUUGGCUUUAUAAUAUAAAGCGGGGCGAAAGCCUUUUUCGGUAAA